CAAUGUUGCAACAUCAGAGUGCAUUCCUUGCACCUACAAAGAUAAGGUCAUAAAAAAAUGGUGCUCAACACAAAGUAUGAAGGUUACGAAACCAGUGUUCAUAAACCCAUAUAUAACAUGCUACGGUUCAAAUGACCAAAAAUUUCUAAAGCGUUAAUUUUUUGAAGCAGCAGCAUGGCACCUUAAAUAACUAAACAACCACAAACUUUAUGAUAAGCAUAAAAAUGAAAGAGUAAGCAUGUGUUUAUAGCCAUCAGCAGCAGAAGAAAGCCCUAUGCAGGUUUGGACUCAUCUCAUCCAUAGCCAAAACCUGUGACAACUUUGUAUUAGGAAAUUAGCAAAUGCAAGACAAUGAAAAAAGAAAGUUAAAAAGCAAACGCAUUAUCAAACAAAAUAAAGUAUGAAUUGAUGAAAUCACAAUUGAUUUGAGUAUCCUUAUUUCAUAAACAAAUAUCAGACUGAUAAAUACAAACUAUAGACUCCCCAUUCACUACUAGUUCAUGAAUCAUAUCAAGAAUUCACACUAAAGUAUGCAACCAUAUUGAUAAAGCAUUUUCUUAAAUUAAGCAAAAGAAUGAGAGUCAUACUUCUCUAUGAGAAAGAUCUAACAUCUAAAUGAACCAUAAGUCACAUGACCAGUCAUUGAUGAUUGCAUAUGAAUAACACUAUACUAAUCUCAACUCAAUUAAGCCUUUAUCCAAAAAAUUUGGAGUCGGCUAUAUGGGUUUUCUUUCCCCACUACGAUUUUGGGUUAAAUCCUUGGGAGAGCAACUUUUACACAACAUUCAUUUCUUAGAUGUCCAUCUUUUUAAGUGUCGUUGGGAAGCAUAGAAAACUUCACUUUUUUUCCUUUUGGGAAGAGGUGGAGGUGGUGAUGUUAUGGCUUAACAUGUCAAAUAUAGUUACAUAAGUGGUAUUUAACUUUGAUUAUACUCACAACUGGUGAAACAUGGUACUGCCAGCUGAUCAGAGUACAUUUUGCAGGAACCAUCGAGGUCUGAGGCACUACUGGGGUCUU
rnacentral:misc_RNA from 1 species